AUUUAUAUAGUAUACACAUUAUAUUUGAUUUCCAAUCAAAUGAACUAACUAAAAUUAGUAUAAAUA
rnacentral:tRNA from 1 species